rnacentral:rRNA from 1 species
UAGUCCACGCCGUAAACGAUGAUUACUCGAUAUUGGCAACAUACUGUCAGUGUCCAAGCGAAAGUGUUAAGUAAUCCACCUGGGGAGUACGACCGUAAGGUUGAAACUCAAAGGAAUUGACGGGGGCCCGCACAAGCGGUGGAGCAUGUGGUUUAAUUCGAUGAUACGCGAGGAACCUUACCAGGGCUUAAAUGUAGGACGACAGACUCGGAAACGAGUCCUUCUUCGGACGUCCUACAAGGUGCUGCAUGGUUGUCGUCAGCUCGUGCCGUGAGGUGUCGGGUUAAGUCCCAUAACGAGCGCAACCCCUAUUCUUAGUUGCCAGCGAGUAAUGUCGGGGACUCUAAGAAAACUGCCAGUGUAAGCUGUGAGGAAGGUGGGGAUGACGGUCAAAUCAUCACGGGCCCUUACGUCCUGGGGCUACGACACGUGCUACAAUGGUAGGUACAGAGGGGCUGGCUACCUGGGCAACAGGGAUGCUAAUCUCUAAAGCCU